UAGUUUAGUCCCCUUUUCAAAAAGAACUUUGCUUCUUUACAAAAAUCAAGUCUAAAAAGGCAUCCAUUAGAAGUCAUCCCUACACCAUUCCAAGGUGAGUUUCUACAUGUAAUUCUUGAAAUUGAAAGCUUAGCAAGUUUACGAAGGCUAUUUUAAUCAACCUCUUAAUCAGCAUUCAGCAGGCAUCUCAGUCUGAAGAUUGUUAUAUCAUUAUACGGUUUCCAUUAUACAAAUAAGAUGAAAAUUUGAUAUAGGCUUUAUUUAACUGAUCCAAAAGUCAAUUUAGUACAUACUUUAGAUGUAAAGUAAGGCUCUUAAAUGAAAAUAAGGGGUGCAGUGAUUGUAAAACAACAGCAAUGAUCCUCGUUCAUCUCAAAUCUUUUUUGAAGAAAGAGGUGUAAUAGGUCCUUUGCAGCAGGGGGUCACGUGACCACACCUACCUUAARUCAAUCARCUAUCACAAAAUGAUGUUCAGAAAUGGAAAGAGCAGGUUUAUGUUGGUAGCAAAUAGCAAAAUCUCAAGUCUCAAGUCUAAAUACUUCAAAAAUGACAGCAAAUAUAAUAAUAUUGAUUUUUCUAAAGAAACGUAUGGGAAAAUAGAACUAGAGAGCAAGCCUUUGUUGUCAGGGGGCCAACCUCUCGGAAAGAUCUUUAAAAUGGUGCCAACAUGGACAGCCCGAUAUAAAAUUCCAACUAUCUGAAAGAGGGUCUACCCUAGUAAGUGAAAAGCGAUGUUGGGCAUCACAGAAYUCUUGCAAAGACCGUGCAGUAACAGAUUUAUGACGUUACCUCAUAUCUGAUAGCRAAACACAUACCAGUUAAACGUUGUACAAAUUUUAAUAGUUGAUUCACAAGCAAAUACACAAAUUGCAGGUUAUGAUUUAUUUAAGAAGGCAAAAAUAUCAUUAACAAUCAUUGCUAAGCGCUUUAGAUAAAAAUACAAGAUCCUAACGUUAAUCACAUGACUUCAAAAAAAGAAAGAAAGAAAAAAAA